rnacentral:rRNA from 1 species
UACGAAGGGGGGCUAGCGUUGUUCGGAUUUACUGGGCGUAAAGCGUGCGCAGGCGGUUUUGUAAGUUUGUCGUGAAAGCCCCGGGCUCAACCUGGGAAUUGCGAUGAAGACUGCAAGGCUUGAAUCUGGCAGAGGGGGGUAGAAUUCCACGUGUAGCAGUGAAAUGCGUAGAGAUGUGGAGGAACACCGAUGGCGAAGGCAGCCCCCCUGGGUCAAGAUUGACGCUCAUGCACGAAAGCGUGGGGGAGCAAGCAGG